rnacentral:rRNA from 1 species
AGACCGAUAGCGAACAAGUACCGUGAAGGGAAAGAUGAAAAGAACUUUGAAAAGAGAGUUAAAGAGUACCUGAAACUGCUGAAAGGGAACCGAAUCGUUUCCAGUGUCUAUAAUCCGUGGUAUAUUUCAUUGGCGAGUGUGUGCGUGCGUGUGCUGUGGCAGCGGCUUUUUAGGCUGCGCUCGGCGUGUGUGCUGUGUGUGCUUGCUGGUGCCCUGUACUGCGGUGGGACGUCAAGGUCAGUUCGUAUGCUGCGGGAAAUGGCUGCCGAGGAGGUAGGGCUUACGCUUGCGUUUGUCUGUUAUAUCUUGGUGGACGAGUAGUCGCGGUUGGGACUGAGGUGCCUACAACGUGCUUUUGAGUGGGUUUGUGUCUCCGUGUGCGCCGUGUGCGGAUAGCUUGCUAUGCGUGUGUGGUUGUGUGUGGAUUGAUGCGGGCUUUAACUUGUUGCCGUUCGGGACGUUGACGAAAUGGAGCGAUUCGACCCGUCUUGAAACACGGACCAAG